rnacentral:rRNA from 1 species
AGAGUUUGAUCCUGGCUCAGAUUGAACGCUGGCGGAAUGCUUUACACAUGCAAGUCGAACGGCAGCACGGGAGCUUGCUCCUGGUGGCGAGUGGCGAACGGGUGAGUAAUGCGUCGGAACGUACCGAGUAAUGGGGGGUAACGCACCGAAAGGUGUGCUAGUACCGCAUACGCCCCGAGGGGGAAGGCAGGGGAUCGCAAGACCUUGCGUUAUUCGAGCGGCCGACGUCUGAUUAGCUAGUUGGUGGGGUAAUGGCUCACCAAGGCGACGAUCAGUAGCGGGUCUGAGAGGAUGAUCCGCCACACUGGAACUGAGACACGGUCCAGACUCCUACGGGAGGCAGCAGUGGGGAAUUUUGGACAAUGGGGGCAACCCUGAUCCAGCCAUUCCGCGUGAGUGAAGAAGGCCUUCGGGUUGUAAAGCUCUUUCAGCUGGAACGAAACGGUACGCUCUAACAUAGCGUGCUAAUGACGGUACCAGCAGAAGAAGCACCGGCUAACUACGUGCCAGCAGCCGCGGUAAUACGUAGGGUGCGAGCGUUAAUCGGAAUUACUGGGCGUAAAGCGUGCGCAGGCGGAUUGUUAAGCAAGACGUGAAAUCCCCGGGCUUAACCUGGGAAUGGCGUUUUGAACUGGCAGUCUAGAGUGUGUCAGAGGGGGGUAGAAUUCCACGUGUAGCAGUGAAAUGCGUAGAGAUGUGGAGGAAUACCAAUGGCGAAGGCAGCCCCCUGGGAUAACACUGACGCUCAUGUACGAAAGCGUGGGUAGCAAACAGGAUUAGAUACCCUGGUAGUCCACGCCCUAAACGAUGUCAACUGGUUGUUGGGGGAGUGAAAUCCCUUAGUAACGAAGCUAACGCGUGAAGUUGACCGCCUGGGGAGUACGGUCGCAAGAUUAAAACUCAAAGGAAUUGACGGGGACCCGCACAAGCGGUGGAUGAUGUGGAUUAAUUCGAUGCAACGCGAAAAACCUCACCUACCCUUGACAUGUCCAGAAUCCUGCAGAGAUGCGGGAGUGCCCGAAAGGGAAUUGGAACACAGGUGCUGCACGGCUGUCGUCAGCUCGUGUCGUGAGAUGUUGGGUUAAGUCCCGCAACGAGCGCAACCCUUAUCAUUAGUUGCUACGCAAGGGCACUCUAAUGAGACUGCCGGUGACAAACCGGAGGAAGGUGGGGAUGACGUCAAGUCCUCAUGGCCCUUAUGGGUAGGGCUUCACACGUCAUACAAUGGUCGGUACAGAGGGUUGCCAAGCCGCGAGGUGGAGCCAAUCCCAGAAAGCCGAUCGUAGUCCGGAUUGUUCUCUGCAACUCGAGAGCAUGAAGUCGGAAUCGCUAGUAAUCGCGGAUCAGCAUGUCGCGGUGAAUACGUUCCCGGGUCUUGUACACACCGCCCGUCACACCAUGGGAGUGGAAUCUGCCAGAAGUAGGUAGCCUAACCGUAAGGAGGGCGCUUACCACGGUGGGUUUCAUGACUGGGGUGAAGUCGAAACAAGGUA